GAUCAUGGCUCAGGAUGAACGCUAGCUACAGGCUUAACACAUGCAAGUCGAGGGGAAACGACAUCGAAAGCUUGCUUUUGAUGGGCGUCGACCGGCGCACGGGUGAGUAACGCGUAUCCAACCUGCCCACCACUUGGGGGAUAACCUUGCGAAGUAAGACUAAUACCCAAUGAUAUCUCUAGAAGACAUCUGAAGGGAUUAAGAUUAUCGGUGAUGGAUGGGGAUGCGU
rnacentral:rRNA from 1 species